GAUGAAGAACGCAGCGAAAUGCGAUAAGUAAUGUGAAUUGCAGAAUUCAGUGAAUCAUCGAAUCUUUGAACGCACAUUGCGCCCGCUAGUAUUCUGGCGGGCAUGCCUGUCCGAGCGUCAUUUCAAACCUCAAGCCCCCGGGCUUGGUGUUGGGGAUCGGCGAGCCUCCGCGCCCGCCGUCCCCUAAAUCUAGUGGCGGUCUCGCUGUAGCUUCCUCUGCGUAGUAGCACACCUCGCACUGGGAAACAGCGCGGCCACGCCGUUAAACCCCCAACUUCUGAACGUUUGACCUCGGAUCAGGUAGGAAUACCCGCUGAACUUAAGCAUAUCAAUAAGCGGAGGA
rnacentral:misc_RNA from 1 species